rnacentral:RNase_P_RNA from 1 species
CCAGAGGGCCGGGCGGCCGUCGGCCGAAGCUUCAGGGCGAAGGCGGAAGGAAAGUCCGGGCUCCAUGGACCAACGGUGCCGGGUAACUCCCGGCGGGGGCGACCCCAGGGAAAGUGCCACAGAGAGCAGGUCACCCACGGCUUUAGCCCGGUGAAAAGUGAAAGGGUGCGGUAAGAGCGCACCGCGCGCAUUGGCAACAAUCGCGGCACGGCAAACCCCACCGGGAGCAAGACCGAAUAGGGGCGGCAUAUGGCGGGUCCGGCCAGUCGCCCGGGUUGGUUGCUAGAGGCCGCAAGCAAUUGCGAUCCUAGAGGAAUGGCUGCACAGGCGGAGAGAUCCGCUGGACAGAACCCGGCUUACAGGCCCUCUGGUGCC